GGUCCUAAACUUGCCGUUGUUUUUGAUUAAAAUUACACAUGUAAGUAUCCGCACACCAGUGAAAAUGCCCAAAGACAAAAAGGAGCAGGUAUCAGGCACGAACUCUCAGCCCAAAACACCUUGCCACGCCACACCCCCACGGGAAAUCAACAGUGAUAGAUAUUAAGCCAUAAGCGAAAAGUCCAAACAAAGCUUGACUUAGUUAUAAUCAUACAGGGUCGGCUAAUCCCGUGCCAGCCGCCGCGGUUACACGAGAGACCCAAAACAACGACCAACGGCGUAAAUUGUGGCUAGAAUAACUGCUAACAACUAAGAAAUAAACUUCAACCUUGCCGUAAAACACAGGUAAAAUGAAACUUCUUACACCACAAAGCAAUUUGAACCCACGAAAACUAAGAAACAAACUAGGAUUAGAUACCCUACUAUGCUUAGACGUAAAUAAGACAUUUAAUAACAGAAAUGUCCGCCAGAGAACUACAAGCGAAAAGCUUAAAACUCAAAGGACUUGGCGGUGUCCCACACUCAACUUAGAGGAGCCUGUCCUAUAAUCGAUGAUCCACGAUAAACCCAACCACCCUUUGCCCAAACUCCGCCUAUAUACCGCCGUCGCAAACCCACCUUACAAAAGAACAACAGUGGGUACAAUAGUUUAAACACUAAAACGACAGGUCAAGGUGUAGCUAAUGGGGUGGAAGAGAUGGGCUACAUUCUUUAAUUCCCAAAGCAAACAGAAAGGGCCAUGAAACAGGCUCCCAAAGGAGGAUUUAACAGUAAACUUGGUAAGAAAACCAAAUUUAAACCCGCUCUGGGACGCGCACACACCGCCCGUCACCCUCCU
rnacentral:ncRNA from 1 species